GACGAACCGUGCGAACGUUGUUCGGAUUCACUGGGCUUAAAGGGCGCGUAGGCGGGUGAUCAAGUCCGGGGUGAAAUCCUUCAGCUCAACUGGAGAAUAGCCUUGGAUACUGGUCGCCUCGAGGGAGGUAGGGGCGGGCGGAACGUCCGGUGGAGCGGUGAAAUUCGUAGAUAUCGGGAGGAACACCGGUGGCGAAGGCGGCGACCUGGGUAGAUACUGACGCUGAGGCGCGAAAGCGUGGGGAGCAAACAGG
rnacentral:rRNA from 1 species